GUUGUUUGUAAUCCGCUUAUUUAAUUCAAAUUAUUCCCCUUGAAAGACACUGUUUCGUUUGAGCAGUUCACAGGUAGCGCAACCUGUCUCGUAGUGUUCAUUUUCAAUGGCUAUUAAACGCUGUAAAUCAAAAUGACAUCGUGUACUUAUGGAUGUCUUCAAUUGAAGAAGGUUCGGAAAUGAUAUUUCCACAUGCUUAAAAUAGGUUGGGAAGUUACGGUGUUGGCGAACAGCAUUCUCACUAUCAGUGUGACAACUGUUGCGGCCAAAAUAAAAACAACAUAGUCAUCUGGUACCUUCUGUGGAGAGUUCUUGUAGGUUUACACAGAAUCAUCACACUAAGCUUUAUGUUGAUAAGACAUACAAAGUUUACACCAGAUUGGCACUUUGGCAUCUGGAAGUCAAAGUGGAGAAACUUCAAUGCAGAAAUGUUGUCUGAUGUCGAUGCGUCUGUGGGGUUAUCGUCAAGGACGGGCCACAACAUUCCCCAGCUUGUGGGGGACUCUUCCAAGCCUGUUGUUAUCUAAGACAGGAAGGAUUACCUUACCACAUUGUUUCACCACAUAAAGAAUGUCACCAAAUUUCAUCUAUUUCUAUGUUUCAGCGGAGAAUCCCGGUGUUGUGGAAUGCAGGGAAUUUAGUGACUCACCAGUAGUCAGAAUCACUCUCCGAAAGGUCUCGAAAGUGAAUGUUAAUGUGAGCUGUGACAACCUGCCAUAUGAAAUGUUUGCAAAAGGGCUUGAUCUGGACCAUCAGUGGUAUUUAUUUGAAAACAUUCGUGAAUUCUGUCGCAUAGAUGAACCAAAAACUUGACAUGUCCGAAACGCGCUACUGGUGAGCAACAAAAAACAGUCUGUGCCCCCCAAAAAAGAAGAUGCAUUAAGAUGCGCAUCUGAUCUUCUCUGAUGGUGCCACAACAAUUACAUACAUCAUGUAUCAGUGUUUAUUUUGGCCAAGGUAUUGGGUGAUAUAUUUUCCCACAAACAAUGCAAAAAAUCCUCUAUUCCUAGGAAAGCUAAAACAUGUAUACGAUUGCUUAAUGUGUCAGUUGAUACAGGUUUUGAAAUGUUCAAUGCAAAUUUUUGUCUUAAUUGCACAAGCUUGUUUUCAAGUUUUUUAUAUCUCAUAUUUACAAAACGAAAAUCAUUUUUUCCAUGUAGAUCUAACCAUGCAAUUGUUUUUACCUUAUGGACACAGACUGCCUAUCAGAAAAACUGGAAAAAAAUCAGUGUGAAUAUUAUAUUUAUUUAUGUUUUACAAUGAAAAUCCUAUAUUUUUGUUUGUUUGCUACAUUGUUUCCAUAGUAACAAAAACAAACAAUUUUUAUGUUUACGUUAUUGUUUAUUUUGUCUAUAUUUCUCUAUCAGAAAUAAUGAUAAAUAAUGAUUAUUUCAUUUACUGAAACAUUUAGUAUCCAAGUCUACUUUCAACCAACACUUUUCAAUGCUGUGUUUUUCCAUUCUGUUGUGUUUGAGGUUACAUUAUACUUAAAUACACAUGUAACUGAAUAAAAAAAGGAAAUUGUUCAUGGAACACACACAUUAUUGAUUGUUAUUGUUUAACUAGUUACAAAACAGUGAAAGUAAUGUUGUGUUUGCCUUUAAACAAACACUUGAUUGAAAAUACAAUUCAUAGAUUAAUAAAAGGCGUGAUUGUGUGCUCUGGUGAUUAUUAACAUGUAGAUUAGUUACCAUAGCAACACAAAUGGUACAUUUUUAAUGUCCAUGAUGCUGUUGUCAGUUUAUUGCACUAUAAAUAUGCAUUUGACUAAAGGAAAGAUUAUUGUUUUAAUAAAACAAUGUGCUUGUUGUUUGAAAAUUUUCGUUGUUUUUUUUGUAUUAAAUGAUAACUUUUCGUCACGGUAAAAUGUAGGGUUGGUCACUU